rnacentral:rRNA from 1 species
GGGUCAGUAGGUUGGUCGUGCCACCGGUACGUACUGGUCUCACUGAUUCCUCCUUCCUGAAGAACCGUAAUGCCAUUAAUUUGGUGUUGCGGGGAAACAGGACUGUUACUUUGAACAAAUUAGAGUGUUUAAAGCAAGCUAACGCUUGAAUACAUUAGCAUGGAAUAAUGAAAUAGGACGAUCGAUCCUAUUUUGUUGGUUUCUAGGAUUGACGGAAUGAUUAAUAGGGAAAUUUGGG